GGAAGCACAGUGCACCUGACCUCAUGAGAACAUGGUGUGGAGGCUGGAGGGCAGCCCAGCACCCAGAGCAGGUCCACUACCGUCUCAGGGACAUGAGGCUGAUCAUAUGACAAAAUGAGACAGGAAAGCGUUCUGUAAACUUUGGAGGACUGUACAGAGCCCCCAGGUUAACAGCUACCACCCUCAGGAAGCCGUGCCUGGUUCUUGCCAGCUGGAAGUCAUCACCCCUCUUCUGAUCGGUCCUUGCACAGCAUCUCCCUCGAGCUCCAGCAGCGGGAACCCAGCUACACCUGGUCAUCCCCUUUCUUCCUGCUUAGCACAGCCUGGCAACGAGGGCGAAGGAAGCAGGU
rnacentral:lncRNA from 1 species